UUCGCAAUGUCCGAAAGGGUGACGAAGCGACGCCGCGUGCGGGAAGAAGGCCUUCGGGUUGUAAACCGCUGUCGGGAGUUAAGAAGUGCAAGGGUGUUAACAGCAUCUUUGCUUGACUAAGGCUCCGGAGGAAGCCACGGCUAACUCUGUGCCAGCAGCCGCGGUAAUACAGAGGCGGCAAGCGUUGUUCGGAAUUAUUGGGCGUAAAGAGCACGUAGGCGGACGUGCAAGUCGGAUGUGAAAGCCUUCCGCUCAACGGAAGAACGGCAUCCGAUACUGCAUGGCUCGAGUGCGGGAGGGGAGAGUGGAACUUCUGGUGGAGCGGUGAAAUGCGUAGAUAUCAGAAGGAACGCCGGCGGCGAAAGCGACUCUCUGGCCCAAAACUGACGCUGAGUGUGCGAAAGCUAGGGGAGCAAACGGGAUUAGAUACCCCGGUAGUCCUAGCCGUAAACGAUGGGCACUAAGUAGAGGGGUUUU
rnacentral:rRNA from 1 species